AACUGAUACUACCUGCGGGAACCUGCGGAAGGAUCAUUACCGAGUGAGGGCCCUCUGGGUCCAACCUCCCACCCGUGUUUAUCGUACCUUGUUGCUUCGGCGGGCCCGCCUCACGGCCGCCGGGGGGCACCUGCCCCCGGGCCCGCGCCCGCCGAAGACAUCAUUGAACUCUGUCUGAAGAUUGCAGUCUGAGUAGAUUAGCUAAAUCAGUUAAAACUUUCAACAAUGGAUCUCUAGAUC
rnacentral:misc_RNA from 1 species